rnacentral:misc_RNA from 1 species
GGCAGAUAUCCUAAUGGCAGCUCUCAUGUAAUCUGUAAAAACAAAGAACGUAGCACAAUAUGGAAUGAGUCCAGGACUGUGAAGGGCAAUUCCAUUGCAGAUGGCUCCCAUUCCGUGCUCUCUAACACCAAAUCGAAGAUUACGCUCUUCAGGAGUAUCCUUUUGGAAGUUUCCGAACGAUUUAAGUAAGGUCAUGUUUGAUGAAGCAAGGUCAGCACUUCCACCAAGGAAACCAGGGAGAACUUUUGCAAGGGCAUUAAGGUUUUGCUGGGAAAGAUUUCUAGUGGCAUCAGCUGGGCUCUCCGGGGUGUAUGUUGGCAAUGCCUUUUCCCAACCAGCAGGUAGUUCGCCAUUAAUAAUAGACUUCAGUUCAGCAGCUUCCUCUGCAUACUUCUUC